GAUGAACGCUGGCGGCGUGCCUAAUACACGCAAGUCGAGCGAACGGACGAGAAGCUUGCUUCUCUGAUGUUAGCGGCGGACGGGUGAGUAACACGUGGAUAACCUACCUAUAAGACUGGGAUAACUUCGGGAAACCGGAGCUAAUACCGGAUAAUAUUUUGAACCGCAUGGUUCAAAAGUGAAAGACGGUCUUGCUGUCACUUAUAGAUGGAUCCGCGCUGCAUUAGCUAGUUGGUAAGGUAACGGCUUACCAAGGCAACGAUGCAUAGCCGACCUGAGAGGGUGAUCGGCCACACUGGAACUGAGACACGGUCCAGACUCCUACGGGAGGCAGCAGUGGGGAAUCUUCCGCAAUGGGCGAAAGCCUGACGGAGCAACGCCGCGUGAGUGAUGAAGGUCUUCGGAUCGUAAAACUCUGUUAUUAGGGAAGAACAUAUGUGUAAGUAACUGUGCACAUCUUGACGGUACCUAAUCAGAAAGCCACGGCUAACUACGUG
rnacentral:rRNA from 1 species